UUAAAGGGAAACGACUUUGGACUCACGUAGGCAUAGGAGAACGAAACUUCUGUACAUUUUAAUCUGAAUAAUUCUUCAGGAUUUAAAAUUAAUUGGCUCUGGCUUGGUUGGACCGUACUCGGAUCUCGCCACCUCUGCGUUUCCCGAGUCACUGGCGAAGAGGUCCCAGUUCCUCUGGGAAUCGUCCUGUAUGCAACAUCUUCACAAGAGUGGCAGGCAGUUGAAUCUCUGGCCUUCGUGGGACCACUGGACAUCUGGCAGAGAACCAGGAAACCACGGUUCCCUUCUGUGAGUCCCUCAGCCGGAAAACUACAAGCUCCUCAUGCAGCUGCUGUCUACAGACCCCCUGGACUGCCUGGGGAAGUGAGUCGGAGCUCCUGCAGCAGAGGGGUGGAACAGCUACACGAAGAUCCGAAGGUGGCCAAAAAUAACAGCGCUUUCCAGAUGAGGGAGCCAGUUGUCCAGCACAGUGUCAUGGGACAGUGGGCCCUGGUGCCACAAUGCCCGGCAUCUCCACCAGAUACAGCUUUGAGAUCUUCAUGAUGAAGCUUGCUCCAAUCCAAGGGCUGUCAGGUGGGGUUUGCGGUUCAGCUGCUAACCUUUCUUUGAUCCAAAUCCUGUCUUCACUGGCUUCAAGAAUCCUGUCUUCACUGGCUUCAAAACUGGGAUGAAGGAGGCUCCUUAGUGGAGAGCAAAGCAAAGAGAAACUCAAAUUGGAUCCAUAUUAAAGAAGAGAAGGAUGGAUUUGUUUAGACAACACAAACCUAGGAAGGGUUUGAGAGGUGAAACAAACUGGGUUAUGGAUGAACGGGGGCAAUUGGAAUGUAGAAUUGAAGCAGUAAUUAACAUCUUGAUCCUGGCAUGGGGCGUCGCUCCUAGUUGGUGCUUGAUGAAUAUUCAUUGAAUGAAUGAAUAAAUGAGCUGAUGAAUAAAGGAUUGCCUUAUUUCAAGGAUCCCCCUUUACACUUUCUAACCUGUUUUUACUAAAAGAAGACCACUUGAUGUGAGCCAGGAAGACUUUUACCAAAAGUUUUUGCCAAAAGCUGUGCCCUUUUUACCCCUGAUGAGAGCAG
rnacentral:lncRNA from 1 species